UAAGAGUUUGAACCUGGCUCAGAUUGAACGCUGGCGGCAGGCCUAACACAUGCAAGUCGAGCGGUAACAGGGGAAGCUUGCUUCUCGCUGACGAGCGGCGGACGGGUGAGUAAUGUAUGGGGAUCUGCCCGAUAGAGGGGGAUAACUACUGGAAACGGUAGCUAAUACCGCAUAAUCUCUCAGGAGCAAAGCAGGGGAACUUCGGUCCUUGCGCUAUCGGAUGAACCCAUAUGGGAUUAGCUAGUAGGUGAGGUAAUGGCUCACCUAGGCGACGAUCCCUAGCUGGUCUGAGAGGAUGAUCAGCCACACUGGGACUGAGACACGGCCCAGACUCCUACGGGAGGCAGCAGUGGGGAAUAUUGCACAAUGGGCGCAAGCCUGAUGCAGCCAUGCCGCGUGUAUGAAGAAGGCCCUAGGGUUGUAAAGUACUUUCAGUCGGGAGGAAGGCGUUGAUGCUAAUAUCAUCAACGAUUGACGUACCGACAGAGAGCCCGAUUCG
rnacentral:rRNA from 1 species